rnacentral:tRNA from 1 species
UGGUGGGUAGCUCAAUCUGGUAGAGCAAUGAACAUCCUUAGUUCACAAGCUUGCCUGAAAAGGCUGAAGAAUCGAGGAUUAUCGUUAAUUCAUGAGUUGUAGGUUCAAAUCCUAUCCCACCAG